rnacentral:rRNA from 1 species
AGUGAACGCUGGCGGUAGGCCUAACACAUGCAAGUCGAACGGCAGCACAGUAAGAGCUUGCUCUUACGGGUGGCGAGUGGCGGACGGGUGAGGAAUACAUCGGAAUCUACUUUUUCGUGGGGGAUAACGUAGGGAAACUUACGCUAAUACCGCAUACGACCUACGGGUGAAAGCAGGAGAUCUUCGGACCUUGCGCGAUUGAAUGAGCCGAUGUCGGAUUAGCUAGUUGGCGGGGUAAAGGCCCACCAAGGCGACGAUCCGUAGCUGGUCUGAGAGGAUGAUCGGCCACACUGGAACUGAGACACGGUCCAGACUCCUACGGGAGGCAGCAGUGGGGAAUAUUGGACAAUGGGCGCAAGCCUGAUCCAGCCAUACCGCGUGGGUGAAGAAGGCCUUCGGGUUGUAAAGCCCUUUUGUUGGGAAAGAAAAGCAGCAGGUUAAUACCCCGCUGUUCUGACGGUACCCAAAGAAUAAGCACCGGCUAACUUCGUG